rnacentral:lncRNA from 1 species
CAGGCGCGCGCGCACGCGGGAGCCCGCGCAGCUUCUGCGCGCGUUUUGCCCGUUUACACCGGAGCCGCGCGCUGCGUCCGCCCCCAGCAGCCUUCGUCCUCGCUUUUUGCGAAUAUAAUUUGUACGAAAGACACAGCUGACCACUUCCAGUACAUUUUUAUUAAUAUACAGAAGACAUUCGACACUGAGACCGACACUCUGCAGUCAGUGACCAGGAAAGAGUUGACUUCAGGGGAAACAAUUGCACAGAUUUUUUGGGGUCACGGCAAACCGGAGCCUAGCCUGGCAACACAGGGCACGAGGCUGGAGAGGACACACCCAGGACGGGAUGCCAGUCUAUUACAGGGCAACCCAAGCGGGACUCGAACCCCAGAUCCCCUGGAGAGCAGGACCUGGCCAAGCCCACUGCACCACCGUGCCCCCUUUUCACAACUCAGUUUCUUAAAAAGAAUAGGCAGUUAAGUUUAAUGUGAAAUAUUUGAAAUUAUCUAACAUGAAACCUCCAAGCAAUGUAACCAUACCAUGGUUUGUAUGUGCUUGCUUUCUUGAACACACUGAGUCAAAAAUUGUGUGGUAUUACCUUUUUAAUGGUUUAUCAAGUAAUGUAAAUUAAUUGUCUACCCAUUCCUUCUUCACAAUGACAUCUGCCCCAAGAUCUGUUGACCUCCGCUAUCAAUAUCAGAGAUAUCUUGUUUUUCAAGCAAGGCAUACAUAAGAAAACUCUGGCAUAAGACAGUGAUAAAUCUUGAAUCUUCUUGAGAAGAGCAUAAACCGUGUCAGUAAAAUAGAAAUGAAACAUCAUAAAUUUUGUGAUUUGCGUGUUUUCUUACAAUUCUUGACUAAGCAAGACCAGUAAGUACAUUUUGCUUUUAUAUUAGUCUAAUUAAUACUCCAGUUUCCUUUAGAAGUAGGUAAAGCACAUAUACGUACAGCCCUGACUGCUGUAACUUGGGCUGAACAUGACAUCCUGUUCAUCUGCAUGUCAGUGUAUGACCACCUUUCCUUAUUGGGAUUAAUUAUCCAGUUAUGGUGAUUUAAGUGAUGUUAAUUGAUUGAUUAUCUUCAUGGUUUUCUGGACAGGGUGAAGUUAAAAAUCAAUCAAAACUGUAUGAACAGUUAAGCUGUCAAUUGUAUAAUAAAAAUAAUGUGACAGAUGGUGCGAAAUCUGGA